rnacentral:rRNA from 1 species
AGCUGUGAAAUACUGUAGCUCAACUACAGCCGUGCAGUUGGGAACUGGCAGACUUGAGUGUACAAGAGGAAGGUGGAAUUCGUGGUGUAGCGGUGAAAAUGUUUAGAUAUCACGAAGAACUCCGAUUGCGAAGGCAGCCUUCUGGGGUACAACUGACACUGAGGCUCGAAAGUGCGGGUAUCGAACAGGAUUAGAUACCCUGGUAGUCCGCACAGUAAACGAUGGAUACUCGCUGCCGGCGAUACACAGUCGGUGGCCAAGCGAAAGCGUUAAGUAUCCCACCUGGGGAGUACGCCGGCAACGGUGAAACUCAAAGGAAUUGACGGGGGCCCGCACAAGCGGAGGAACAUGUGGUUUAAUUCGAUGAUACGCGAGGAACCUUACCCGGGCUAGAACGGCAGGAUGCAUGUUAGGAGAGACCCUUUCAGUCUUCGGACAUCCUGUUGAGGUGCUGCAUGGUUGUCGUCAGCUCGUGCCGUGAGGUGUCGGCUUAAGUGCCAUAACGAGCGCAACCCUUGCUGUCAGUUGCCAUCGGGUAAUGCCGGGCACUCUGGCGGGACUGCCAUCGCAAGAUGUGAGGAAGGUGGGGAUGACGUCAAAUCAGCACGGCCCUUACGUCCGGGGCUACACACGUGUUACAAUGGGGGGUACAGAGGGAAGCCACCUGGCGACAGGGCGCUGAUCCCGAAAUCCCUUCUCAGUUCGGAUUGGAGUCUGUAACCCGACUCCAUGAAGCUGGAUUCGCUAGUAAUCGCGCAUCAGCCAUGGCGCGGUGAAUACGUUCCCGGGCCUUGUACACACCGCCCGUCAAGCCAUGGGAGUCGGCGGUACCUAAAGAGCGGGGUAUAUCCCGUUA